rnacentral:rRNA from 1 species
UGGUUAAGUGGGAAACGAUGUGGGAAGGCCCAGACAGCCAGGAUGUUGGCUUAGAAGCAGCCAUCAUUUAAAGAAAGCGUAAUAGCUCACUGGUCGAGUCGGCCUGCGCGGAAGAUGUAACGGGGCUAAACCAUGCACCGAAGCUGCGGCAGCGACGCUGAUGCGUUGUUGGGUAGGGGAGCGUUCUGUAAGCCUGCGAAGGUGUGCUGUGAGGCAUGCUGGAGGUAUCAGAAGUGCGAAUGCUGACAUAAGUAACGAUAAAGCGGGUGAAAAGCCCGCUCGCCGGAAGACCAAGGGUUCCUGUCCAACGUUAAUCGGGGCAGGGUGAGUCGACCCCUAAGGCGAGGCCGAAAGGCGUAGUCGAUGGGAAACAGGUUAAUAUUCCUGUACUUGGUGUUACUGCGAAGGGGGGACGGAGAAGGCUAUGUUGGCCGGGCGACGGUUGUCCCGGUUUAAGCGUGUAGGCUGGUUUUCCAGGCAAAUCCGGAAAAUCAAGGCUGAGGCGUGAUGACGAGGCACUACGGUGCUGAAGCAACAAAUGCCCUGCUUCCAGGAAAAGCCUCUAAGCAUCAGGUAACAUCAAAUCGUACCCCAAACCGACACAGGUGGUCAGGUAGAGAAUACCAAGGCGCUUGAGAGAACUCGGGUGAAGGAACUAGGCAAAAUGGUGCCGUAACUUCGGGAGAAGGCACGCUGAUAUGUAGGUGAAGCGACUUGCUCGUGGAGCUGAAAUCAGUCGAAGAUACCAGCUGGCUGCAACUGUUUAUUAAAAACACAGCACUGUGCAAACACGAAAGUGGACGUAUACGGUGUGACGCCUGCCCGGUGCCGGAAGGUUAAUUGAUGGGGUUAGCGCAAGCGAAGCUCUUGAUCGAAGCCCCGGUAAACGGCGGCCGUAACUAUAACGGUCCUAAGGUAGCGAAAUUCCUUGUCGGGUAAGUUCCGACCUGCACGAAUGGCGUAAUGAUGGCCAGGCUGUCUCCACCCGAGACUCAGUGAAAUUGAACUCGCUGUGAAGAUGCAGUGUACCCGCGGCAAGACGGAAAGACCCCGUGAACCUUUACUAUAGCUUGACACUGAACAUUGAGCCUUGAUGUGUAGGAUAGGUGGGAGGCUUUGAAGUGUGGACGCCAGUCUGCAUGGAGCCGACCUUGAAAUACCACCCUUUAAUGUUUGAUGUUCUAACGUUGACCCGUGAUCCGGGUUGCGGACAGUGUCUGGUGGGUAGUUUGACUGGGGCGGUCUCCUCCUAAAGAGUAACGGAGGAGCACGAAGGUUGGCUAAUCCUGGUCGGACAUCAGGAGGUUAGUGCAAUGGCAUAAGCCAGCUUGACUGCGAGCGUGACGGCGCGAGCAGGUGCGAAAGCAGGUCAUAGUGAUCCGGUGGUUCUGAAUGGAAGGGCCAUCGCUCAACGGAUAAAAGGUACUCCGGGGAUAACAGGCUGAUACCGCCCAAGAGUUCAUAUCGACGGCGGUGUUUGGCACCUCGAUGUCGGCUCAUCACAUCCUGGGGCUGAAGUAGGUCCCAAGGGUAUGGCUGUUCGCCAUUUAAAGUGGUACGCGAGCUGGGUUUAGAACGUCGUGAGACAGUUCGGUCCCUAUCUGCCGUGGGCGCUGGAGAACUGAGGGGGGCUGCUCCUAGUACGAGAGGACCGGAGUGGACGCAUCACUGGUGUUCGGGUUGUCAUGCCAAUGGCACUGCCCGGUAGCUAAAUGCGGAAGAGAUAAGUGCUGAAAGCAUCUAAGCACGAAACUUGCCCCGAGAUGAGUUCUCCCUGACUCCUUGA